AUUGAACGCUGGCGGCAGGCCUAACACAUGCAAGUCGAACGGGAACAGGGAUCUGCUUGCUGAUUCGCUGACGAGUGGCGGACGGGUGAGUAAUGUCUGGGAAACGGCCUGAUGGAGGGGGAUAACUACUGGAAACGGUAGCUAAUACCGCAUAACGUCGCAAGACCAAAGAGGGGGACCUUCGGGCCUCUUGCCAUCGGAUGUGCCCAGAUAGGAUUAGCGAGUGGGUGGGGUACCGGCUCACCGAGGCGAGGAUCCCUAGCUGGUAUGGGAGUGUGACCAGGCCCACUGGAGCUGAGGCACGGCCCCGAGUGCUACGGGAGGCAGCAGUUGGGACUACUGCAGGAAGGAGGCGAGACUGAUGCAGCCAUGCCGCAUGUAUGAAGCAGGACUUCGGUUUGUAAAAUGCUUUCUGCGGGGAUGAAGAGAGUAAACUUAAUGCCUUAACUCAGUGACGGUACCCGCAGAAGAAGCGCCGGCUAAAUCCGUG
rnacentral:rRNA from 1 species